CGGGACACGUGGUAUCCUGUCUGAAUAUGGGGGGACCAUCCUCCAAGGCUAAAUACUCCUGACUGACCGAUAGUGAACCAGUACCGUGAGGGAAAGGCGAAAAGAACCCCGGCGAGGGGAGUGAAAAAGAACCUGAAACCGUGUACGUACAAGCAGUGGGAGCACGCUUAGGCGUGUGACUGCGUACCUUUUGUAUAAUGGGUCAGCGACUUAUAUUCUGUAGCAAGGUUAACCGAAUAGGGGAGCCGAAGGGAAACCGAGUCUUAACUGGGCGUUAAGUUGCAGGGUAUAGACCCGAAACCCGGUGAUCUAGCCAUGGGCAGGUUGAAGGUUGGGUAACACUAACUGGAGGACCGAACCGACUAAUGUUGAAAAAUUAGCGGAUGACUUGUGGCUGGGGGUGAAAGGCCAAUCAAACCGGGAGAUAGCUGGUUCUCCCCGAAAGCUAUUUAGGUAGCGCCUCGUGAAUUCAUCUCCGGGGGUAGAGCACUGUUUCGGCAAGGGGGUCAUCCCGACUUACCAACCCGAUGCAAACUGCGAAUACCGGAGAAUGUUAUCACGGGAGACACACGGCGGGUGCUAACGUCCGUCGUGAAGAGGGAAACAACCCAGACCGCCAGCUAAGGUCCCAAAGUCAUGGUUAAGUGGGAAACGAUGUGGGAAGGCCCAGACAGCCAGGAUGUUGGCUUAGAAGCAGCCAUCAUUUAAAGAAAGCGUAAUAGCUCACUGGUCGAGUCGGCCUGCGCGGAAGAUGUAACGGGGCUAAACCAUGCACCGAAGCUGCGGCAGCGACGCUGAUGCGUUGUUGGGUAGGGGAGCGUUCUGUAAGCCUGUGAAGGUGUGCUGUGAGGCAUGCUGGAGGUAUCAGAAGUGCGAAUGCUGACAUAAGUAACGAUAAAGCGGGUGAAAAGCCCGCUCGCCGGAAGACCAAGGGUUCCUGUCCAACGUUAAUCGGGGCAGGGUGAGUCGACCCCUAAGGCGAGGCCGAAAGGCGUAGUCGAUGGGAAACAGGUUAAUAUUCCUGUACUUGGUGUUACUGCGAAGGGGGGACGGAGAAGGCUAUGUUGGCCGGGCGACGGUUGUCCCGGUUUAAGCGUGUAGGCUGGUUUUCCAGGCAAAUCCGGAAAAUCAAGGCUGAGGCGUGAUGACGAGGCACUACGGUGCUGAAGCAACAAAUGCCCUGCUUCCAGGAAAAGCCUCUAAGCAUCAGGUAACAUCAAAUCGUACCCCAAACCGACACAGGUGGUCAGGUAGAGAAUACCAAGGCGCUUGAGAGAACUCGGGUGAAGGAACUAGGCAAAAUGGUGCCGUAACUUCGGGAGAAGGCACGCUGAUAUGUAGGUGAAGCGACUUGCUCGUGGAGCUGAAAUCAGUCGAAGAUACCAGCUGGCUGCAACUGUUUAUUAAAAACACAGCACUGUGCAAACACGAAAGUGGACGUAUACGGUGUGACGCCUGCCCGGUGCCGGAAGGUUAAUUGAUGGGGUCAGCGCAAGCGAAGCUCUUGAUCGAAGCCCCGGUAAACGGCGGCCGUAACUAUAACGGUCCUAAGGUAGCGAAAUUCCUUGUCGGGUAAGUUCCGACCUGCACGAAUGGCGUAAUGAUGGCCAGGCUGUCUCCACCCGAGACUCAGUGAAAUUGAACUCGCUGUGAAGAUGCAGUGUACCCGCGGCAAGACGGAAAGACCCCGUGAACCUUUACUAUAGCUUGACACUGAACAUUGAGCCUUGAUGUGUAGGAUAGGUGGGAGGCUUUGAAGUGUGGACGCCAGUCUGCAUGGAGCCGGCCUUGAAAUACCACCCUUUAAUGUUUGAUGUUCUAACGUUGACCCGUGAUCCGGGUUGCGGACAGUGUCUGGUGGGUAGUUUGACUGGGGCGGUCUCCUCCUAAAGAGUAACGGAGGAGCACGAAGGUUGGCUAAUCCUGGUCGGACAUCAGGAGGUUAGUGCAAUGGCAUAAGCCAGCUUGACUGCGAGCGUGACGGCGCGAGCAGGUGCGAAAGCAGGUCAUAGUGAUCCGGUGGUUCUGAAUGGAAGGGCCAUCGCUCAACGGAUAAAAGGUACUCCGGGGAUAACAGGCUGA
rnacentral:rRNA from 1 species